AUGGAACUGCUUAACGAGGUCAGUCAUUUGUGCGACCAGGGUUUCCACGGCGUGCCUUGCAGCGGACAAUUCCUCCUCGUGCUUGCCCAGCAUCGCCCCUUGGAUCUCGACGGCCGUCUGGAUUGGGUUCUCCCUUGCUGGGUCCAUGGUGGCCAGAUUAUUCUGUUAAGAGGUGAGCAAUUUCCAGAAGCAGUGGGAGCCCAUCGCGAGACCACAGGAGAUGCGAAGAGUCGCUUUGCUUGCUCUAAAGUGACAAGUUUCACACAUUCAUAAGGACCUGUGGAUUGGUGCAUUGAGCUGUAGCCAACAGUUCUACCUCACAUCUGGAGCUUCCACUGAUAUCUGCAGGACAGCCUGCCCAUCGAGAACAGCACAAACACAACUCGACUUGAUGAAAGGGGAUUUUGGCGCACCUGCCGUUUGAGGCUGUGGUCUUGGGCAGGGACAAAACCGAUGCACUGAGGCACCAUGGACAGAAUUAAUGGGCAUCAGACUUAAGGACUAGCACCAACCUGAAGCACCUGCACUUAUUUAAAUGAGAGCAAACGACUUGCUCGGGGUCCUUAAAACUAUUUACUUGGCAAUGUACUAUUGAGUAUUUAUGGGCUGUCAUUCACGAGGAGCUACACUGUGGCACUGACAAUUCAUCUUUAAGGUGAAAUUACAUUUGUGCUGUCAGAGCGGCCUAUUUUAAAACCCCCUAACCAAAUCAGCUCGACUAGGCAGUCUUGCUGAUGCAUUAGCUCUAAUUAAGUUGGCAGUGACAAAGCUUUGUCUAACAACGUGCUAAUUUAUUUCUCUAAAGAGUGUCGGUUGUUAGCAUGUGAUAAAAACGCAAACCGACGAGCAGUAUUUGGACGGUGAUCUUUGUCAAAGCACUCUGCUUGCAAGAAUUAUCAGUUAGCUUUGAUAUAGAAGCACAUUCGUGUUUUGUGUGAGAGUUACAAGGCAAUUGUGAACCACUGGUUUAAUGUAUUUGUUCAAAUCUUGAAAUGCUUAAGGUAAAGGUAAGUGAGGUAAAUACAGGAGAAUUGCACUUUAAUAUGUUAAUUAUAUUUCUUUGCUGUAGGCAGCAUAGCAUGAACUUCUUCCCCCGAUCAAUUAAUAUUUCUAACAAAGGGUUUGUUUUCCCACUCCCACGUUUAGUUGAACUGGGUUGAGUAUGCAUAAAAGUAAGCAAGCGUACAGUAUAUAUUUAUGAAAAGUGAUUCUGAUAUGUGGGAGUGUGACUUUAGGUCAGCUGAAAUGAAAAUCCACCAUUUUAAGACAGCGGUGAAAAUCUGUGAAUAAUUUUUUUUUUUUUUUUUUGACUCUUACUGAGAACUUUAGUAUAGUUUUCUUUUCCUUAAAAUUGUUUUUCACUUUCAAUUAUUAAUUUCUUCUUAUUAAAUCUUUUUUUAAACUACAUUUUCUUUCUCCCUGUCUUUUUGUCAUCAUAACCUUCUUAUUGUCAUCUUGGCUGCUUUUUAAACUUUUUAGUUUAACUUUUUUUUAAAUUAAUUAUUCUUUAAUUUGUAUGUGUGUUUCUCUCAUAUUCCAACUUUUUUACCAUAAAUUUGGCAGCAUAUCUUAAACUCUUUAUCAAUAUAUUAUUUUUAAAUUAUUAAUAUUAUAAUUUAAUUCACAGUUGUCUUUCUCCCUGUUUUUCUUUGCAAUUUGUCAGAAAGUGAAAGUGACGUAACAUACAGCCAAAUAUGGUGACCCAUACUCUGAAUUCGUGUUCUGCAUUUAACCCAUCCAAAGUGCACACACAACAGUGAACACCCUCAUACCAUGAACACACACCCAGAGCAGUGGGCAGCCAUUUAUGCUGCAGCGCCUGGGGAGCAGUUGGGGGUUCGGUGCCUUGCUCAAGGACAGCUCAGUCGUUGUUUCGCCGGCCCAAGGCUCGAACCCACAACCUUAGGGUUAGGAGUCAAACUCUCUAACCAUUAGGCCACGACUUCCCCAAUAACCUUCUGUCAUUUUGGCAGCAGACUAGACUGAGGAAUGUCUUAAUAUUUGGUAGAGGUACUUCUUUCACACCUUUCCCUUCGUUUUAGUAUUUACAGCUUGGUGUGUUAAAACAAGAACAUCCUGAUUUGAGUAACUCAUCUUCCCUCUACUUGUGUUUAUGCAGGUUAAGUUUCAAAAAACACAAUAUAUUCCACAUACUGUACAUUAUUGUUGCUCCUUUAUUCCCCACCUUUCUGAAACGCGUCGAUUUUUACAAAACUCAGCAUUCUGAAAAGCGAGGUGUGCUCUGAUUGGCCAGCAUUCAGUGCGUUGUGAUUGGCCGAAUACCUCAAGCGUGUGACGGAAAUGCUAUGCCCCUUACCGUAUUGUGAUGCCCUGUUUGUGUGUGUGUGUGUGUUUCAUUAAUAAUUGUAUUAUCACUGUUUUUAUUUCAUUUUUAAAAUACUCAUGCACUGAUUUUUUAUGAUACUUUGUCUGUACAUUGUUGUUUUUAUAAUUUAGAAUUUUAAUGCAUUUCUUUAAUUACAGUGUGAAAGAGAGAGGAGAAUGAAAAGGAAUAAAAAGAUAAAAUUUAAAAUUUCCUUGAAACCC
ensembl:lncRNA